CAGUUCUUCAUAGCAAAGAGCAUUGCUGGCCAGUCAUUGCACAUUCAGCAUAACUAUCACCAACUGUAUUCUAAAAACUCAUACAGUUAUACCCCACCAGGUGUGGUCCAAGCUUGCUUGAUGACCUACAUCAGCAGCUGUUCAUAAUAAUUAACACAAGGUUUUUUAAACACACAUAUAUACCUGAUCCUGUUACUACUUACUGUAACAAAGUUGACCUUCUCAGACUUCUCAAAGCAUCCGGUGAGGUGCAUGGUUUGGGUUCCCCUACAAUAUAGCUCUCUCCUUACAUUUAAUAUCAUUGGCAUAUGUGUAUAAUCUAUGGAUGUGAAGGAGAAGAACAGCUAUCAGUACACUGCCUGAGUCAAUCCGUGUGACCAAUGUAGAACACAACGUGGAUCUAGGUGAGAACAACACAGAGAAUUACCUUAGCACCCACAAUUUUUGAAGCUCCAAGCACACAGGAGUCUCCGAUACACCUUACAGACUGCUGUCAUAAUCCCUUGAUCCAGAAAUGUUUAGCCUGUGACUUCCCAACAGAGAUGCCCAGGAAAAUAAAAUAAAGGCUCUUCACCUUUUAA